rnacentral:tRNA from 1 species
GGUUAUAUAGCUCGGGGUAGAGUGCCUGCUUAGCACGCACGAGGUCCUGGGUUCAAUCCCCAGUACCUCCA